rnacentral:lncRNA from 1 species
CUAGGAGAGACUCACUUGGGUGCCCAUGGAAAGAUCCAUCCUUGGCCUAAUGCUUUGAUCUUCAGGCCUGUAAAUGUGCACUAGGGGUCCCUGUCCUAGCCUUCUGAGCCUCAGGACUGGCUGCAGAUCAUUUUCUUUACACACCCAGGACCAGUAGCUUCCAGUUGAAAGAAACCUUUGUCUCUGAGGCAGAUUGGAGACUUUUUUUUUUUUUGAGGGGGUACUGGGAAUUCAACUCAGGCACUCGACCACUGAGCCACAUCCCCAGCCCUAUUUUGUAUUUUAUUUAGAGACAGGGUCUCACUGAGUUGUUUAAGGCCUCGCCAUUGCUGAGGCUGGCUUUGAACCUGAGGUCCUCCUGCCUCAGCCUCCCAAGCUGCUGAGAUUACAGGGUUGCGUUACUGCGCCCCGCCUGAUACUUGACUUCUUAAUGAAAGAUGGCCCUGUACUAGGCCUCUGAGAUCUAGGAAGACUAGAACAGGAAUCCACAUACCUAGUUGCCUUCCACCAGAGGGCUUGGGGCACUAAAAUCUUCCCUCUUUUUAAGGGGAGAAGGAACUCUGCUAGGACAGAGCUUUGAAGCUCAGACGUGUUCCUCCUACGAGCAGGGUUACUUGGCUGAUGGAUCAAAAGAGAAAGCAGAGAGCCCCCAGAAUUCCUGGACCAACAGCGGGCCUCCCUGCAGUUUGCAGAAUGAAGACAACAUCCAGAUGGAAGGAGAAAAAAACAGGAAUUCCGCCAUGCCUGAAGCCAGUCUACCUGAUCUUCGCUGUUCUUUGAGUCAUGAAAUUUUCUUCUUUGCUUAGGCCAGUUUGAGACAAAUUUUCUAUCAAAACCCACAAAAAAAUCCCAGCAAUGGUAAAUGGCAGGAAAAGCGAAAACACAGGGUUGGAGAAUGUCAAGUCCACUCAGGGGCAGAAGGAGGACCUCGGGGGUGACCCUGGCUGGAUCAAGAGUGUGGAGUCAAUUUCCUCAAGCAACUGGCACCAAAGGGAAUUUGGGGGGAAGAUGUUGGCAGAAUUCAGGCAAUGACUUCGUGAAGUAAACAGAAUUUCUGAAAUCAGAAGACGACAAGACUGGAGGUCCAGUUUUGGAGCACCUGACCACGAAGCCUAUGUCUUAAGUUGGGGUUUCCCCUACCCCCAGAAGCCAAUGCUGAGGUAAAGACUCAAGGGCAGGGCUGGGGUGUAGCUCGGUGGUAGAGCGCUUGCCUAGCGCAUGUGAGGCCCUGGGUUGGAUCCUAUGCACACAUAAAAAUGGAUAAAUAAAAUAAAGGUGUAAAAAGUGU